GACGAACGCUGGCGGCGUGCUUAACACAUGCAAGUCGAACGGAAAGGCCCCGCUUUUGGGGGGUGCUCGAGUGGCGAACGGGUGAGUAACACGUGGGUAACCUGCCCUUCACUUCGGGAUAACCUCAGGAAACUGGGGCUAAUACCGGAUAGGAGCUCCUGCUGCAUGGUGGGGGUUGGAAAGUUUUGGCGGUUGGGUGAGGACUCGGGGCUUAUCGGCUUGUUGGUGGGGUUGUGGCUUACCAAGGCUUUGACGGGUCGCCGGCCUGAGAGGGUGACCGGUCACAUUGGGACUGGACUACGGCCCGGCCUCCAACGGGAGGCAGCGGGGGGGAAUAUUGCACAAUGGGCGGAGCCCUAAUGCAGCACCGCCGCGUGGGGGAUAAGGGCCUUCGGUUGGUAAACCGCUUUCGCCUGUGACGAAGCGUAAGUGACGGUAAUUGGUGAAGAAGCACCGGCUAACUACGUG
rnacentral:rRNA from 1 species